UACGUAGGGGGCAAGCGUUGUCCGGAUUUAUUGGGCGUAAAGAGCGUGUAGGCGGCCAGACAGGUCAGCUGUGAAAACUCGAGGCUCAACCUCGAGACGUCGGUUGAAACCGUUUGGCUAGAGUCCGGAAGAGGAGAGUGGAAUUCCCGGGUGUAGCGGUGAAAUGCGCAGAUAUCGGGAAGAACACCCGUGGCGAAGGCGGCUCUCUGGGACGGUACUGACGCUGAGACGCGAAAGCGUGGGGAGCGAACAGG
rnacentral:rRNA from 1 species